rnacentral:lncRNA from 1 species
UUGCAAUAGAUCUACUAUAUUUGUUGUAUGGAAUGAUUGUAAGGUGUACAUGUCUAGCGAGCAGAUGUCAUCUGACCUUGACCUCAUUUUCAUGGUUGAGUGGUCAAAGUUAAGUUUUUUAGUUUUGGUCUUUUUAUCUAAUACUAUAUGCCAUAGGUCAACUAUAUUUGGUGUAUGGAAAUAUUUUAUGAUCUAUAUGUCAGCCGCGC